GAUGAACGCUGGCGGCGUGCCUAACACAUGCAAGUCGAACGAGGUAUUUUGAUUGAAGUUUUCGGAUGGAUUUCAAGAUACCGAGUGGCGGACGGGUGAGUAACGCGUGGGUAACCUGCCUCAUACAGGGGGAUAACGGUUAGAAAUGACUGCUAAUACCACAUAAGCGCACAGUACCGCAUGGUACGGUGUGAAAAACUCCGGUGGUAUGAGAUGGACCCGCGUCUGAUUAGCUAGUUGGUGGGGUAACGGCCCACCAAGGCGACGAUCAGUAGCCGACCUGAGAGGGUGAUCGGCCACAUUGGGACUGAGACACGGCCCAGACUCCUACGGGAGGCAGCAGUGGGGGAUAUUGCAUAAUGGAGGAAACUCUGAUGCAGCGACGCCGCGUGAGUGAAGAAGUAUUUCGGUAUGUAAAGCUCUAUCAGCAGGGAAGAAAAUGACGGUACCUGACUAAGAAGCCCCGGCUAACUACGUGCCAGCAGCCGCAGUAA
rnacentral:rRNA from 1 species